AACACAGAAAGCUUCUUACGUUACACGAAUUACGUAUAUUUUCUCCCCUCUCGCUUCUAACAUUGUCCGUGGAUAUAUGUAUGGCAAGUGAAGACGAGCGUCCGCGCUGCGGCGCCACGCCAUGCCGAUUAGGUACGGAACGAGAAUGAUGGCACGGGCAGCAGGAAGAAAAAGGGAAAAGUCUACAAGAAGAAAGUUGGGCAUUGCUAAUGUACCAAACACCUCCAACAUUAACCGCAGCUACAGUAAUCCAAAUACUCACCUGGGGCUGUGCAAUCCCCUCCCUAAUCGUAAACGUUUUGCUCAUAGUCAGCAUUAAUCGCGAACGUCGAACCGACAAUCGAUUCCGCUGGUUUAAUCCGAUUUUUCUGUACAUGUUGUACUGUAACAUGGCGCUUGCCGUCCUCUUUCCACUGGUUCACCCAACAUACUUUCCCGCUCGUGGCUUGAUUUAUAUGGUUUUUGUUGGUCCAUUGGCAAGGAUUUUAAACCAAAUUGUGCAAAAAAUUGUCUAUGGAUUGAUCGUCGGAAUCAUCACUUUUCAAAUGUGCAUUGCUCCGAUUACGUUGGUUUUGCGAUGGAUGAUAGUGAAGAAACGCAUCUCGUGUAUGACUCUUCACUAUAAAACAAUACGAAAAUUAUUCUUUGCAAUAAGUUUAUUUCUACCUAUAACCUUAGAGAUAUACCUGAUCUUUUUCACGCCAAACCAGAAAAUCGAGUCUUAUUCCGAAGUGUCACAUCGAGAUGUUGUCAUGAAACUGAGCGGUCACGACUUUUCAUAUUUUGUGGUUGAUUGGAGUUUCUCGUUGCUAGUUUUCACAUUUACCAUCCCCUACAUUACUUGCUUUAUCGUUAGUCUGGUUUUUCAUAAAUUUUAUAUGAAAUCGAUUCGGAACGUUUCCAACGAGUUCAUCGAUAUGGGAUAUCACGACUCGGCGAACAUCAAUAGAACCCUCCUAUCAAUUGCUCUUCAGAAUCUCAUAUCAAUUUCCAUUCCACACUUUGUGCUCACAAUUACGUCUCUUCUGAAAUGGGAUCUUGGUGUCCGUGCGUUACCGGCUUCGUUUGGAUGUAUUACGAUUACAUUGACAACGUCUCUCACAAUUUUUGUCAAUUUUAGAGCUUACAGACGACAACUCGGCUUCAUUAUAAUCGAUUUUUUCCGGCAAAAAAAUGUGAACCUUUCCGUCUUUGUCGUCGAUAAUCAGCAGCAAGCCGAUCAACUUCAAAUGUCCACCGUCGGAGCACCUAUUUCGAUGAUGUGA